rnacentral:lncRNA from 1 species
GUCCACCUGGAAUCUGAGCCUUUAUGAGAAUGUCCUGUUUUGUACAAAUAACCACCAGAAGCCCAAUCAAGCCCAUCUUUAAAUUGGACUUCUGUGAAUAAUGGUCUUAUUGUUAAAUCAAGGAACAAAUGACUAGUUAAUAUCAUUAACUAGGGAAAAAAUAGCCUCAGUUCUUCUUAGAGUUACAGUGGUUGAAUGUGGGAACUGUGGACAGACCAGCCAUCGCUAUUUCACCUAAGAGUUGUCGUGGUGGAGUUUGGAACCCUGUCACGCUGGUGUAUGUACAAACAUGCGGUCUCCCAUCCCGAGGAGGAUCAAAAGAUCUCCACGACUUCAAGAGGAGAGACGGUUCUUUCUCUUAAUUUACAUACAUGAAACCAAGAACAAGGUCAGAAAGAAAUAGAAUAAUGAAGGCGUCAUGGACUGACACUGCAUUAGAUUAUGUAACUGUAAAAUUUUACAUGCUUCACAGUAAAUGAAUUUACCCAUCUUUAAUUUAAAAUAAUGGAGGAAUGUGAGAGAAAUAGUUGAGGGUGGAAAUGGUGGUUAAUAUGCUUUCAUGUUUCUAUACAGCUCCAAAGUUGAUUUUGUGUUUGUUCUGGUCUGUCUCUUUAGAAGAUUGGCAGACAGGAUCACUGUUAAAUAAGCACUGAUGAACUUCUUGCUUGAUGGGGAGAGGAAGGUUAUUUGUAAAUAUUAUUUUAAUUGCCUCCACUUGGGCUGGGAAUAAAAGGGCUUCCAAAAUAGUACCCA